CUGGCCAAUCGCCCUUAGUGGAUAACGGCCAUUUCCCCGAGAAUGAAGAAGAAGAAGGAGGGUUAGUAUGAAUCGCAGGCUGACCUGAGGAAGAACUGUGCCCUCUGCAAAGUGUGCCUGUGGGAAACCCGUGGGAUGCCUCAGGCAUAGCAUGGGAGCAGCAACUGCCGGUAUUCUAUCCGAUACAACUCCAAACGCACGAGCACCUAUAUGCCAAUGUUUCGCUGUGUUCCAAGUCGCUACGAGCUGAACACUCAAGCAGCAACGCCAGAAAGACGACAAAGAUGCAGUUUAUUUUAUACAAGGUGGGGUGGCACGGUUAUAUUCUUCAUCUAAAUGCAAGGCCGCUGAAGAAAGCACUAACUUCACAAGAAUGCACCAAGUGUACUGUCCUUAGCGCAUCAAAUAUGGCAGUGGAUAACAGCAAUAUAUCAACAACGUCUGUGAUGGACUCGCUUUGUGUUUCAUGCAUGCUAUCACGGAGGAAGCUCGUGUGAAGAAUGUUUGGUCUGAAGGCUUUGGUGUUUGACUAAAUCUGUAUGCAUGUCAGCCAGCCACGUCCACGACUUUCAGGGACGAAACCAGAAUGCAGUUCUUCGCUUGUACUUUUUCUUGUCUUGGCAGCGCCUUGGAGCCUCUACACUGCUGCUACGCCUGUGGAAAUAAAAUAAUAUUAGGAUUA